rnacentral:lncRNA from 1 species
CUGAUGUAACCGUUAUUAUUUGACCUUGCAUUUGUAGCGUUUGAUGAGCGUGUCAGAUGCGGUAUUUUUGGUUCAUACAUGGAUGCUUACCACAAAUAUUAAGAAUGGGAGAGUGAAUAAUGUAUUUCUGGGAAUUUAGAAAUGGGAAAAAAGAAUAGUAAAUUAAAACCAGAAGAAGUCAGCGAUUUAAAAAAGAAAACAUAUUGUGAGUACUAUAUCUGAUUAUUAAAUUAUAAACUAAUUCAUUAAAUGUAUUUAUAAUUUGUGUACACAAUGUUUAGCUCUAAAAUAAUUCAGUGAUAUCGCUUCUCACUACAACGGAUAUUAAUAGCAUUGAAUACAUAACUAUAAAUAUACAGUUUGUGUAUUCAGUUAUAUUUUUACACUGCAUGUGCAUACAUCAGGGGGCAUUUCAAACCAACCCUCAAGUGCCUCUCUAUAAUUCAAGUGAUUAUAUGCAAACACAAUGAUCUUUUUCAAGUUUGAAUACAUAGCUUUUUAUCGUUUCAAAUUUAUUCUAGUAAAUUGCAUUUGUCUUUACAAGGGUGAUAUCGAUUUAUUGAGUGCCUUGAUAUCACCAAGGGAGCCUUCCACAUUAAGCAAUCAAUAUUAUGUUUAUGAUAACCACAACAUAAAGUUGCAGUAGCGUGCUCCAUUAUGAUUUAUAACAUCUUAUCCACAUAUUCUAUUAUUUAAUUAUCACAUUGUUAGAUAGAUAAAUAUUUCAAUGAUGAACGGAUUCUACCAGAAUUUUAUAUCCAAUUACCCAAUUUCAUUAGAAUCAGAUAAUUUCAGAUUAUUAUUUUGCUUAUUAGCCUUUAUAUAGUUUUGUUUUAAGCCGGUAUAGUAGAGAGAUAUGUUUUGUAGUAAUUUGAAUGCUUCAUUCGAAAAUUUCUGUGAUUCCAAAUAAUUAAUCGUUUGUGUUGACUUUGGAAGAGUUUUCUCUCUUUGUGAAAGGGAUGCCGAUAAUGCCGAUUAUUUAUGAUGAAUGUUUUAUAUUUACCAUGUUUACAUUUUUUGGCAAUAAUCAAAAAAUGUCAAAAAUUAUUUUGCAUCACAUACGGAAAUUGGUAAUUUUUCUUUUGCGCCUAUUUUACAUUUCGCAAUCACUCCGUAGUAUUCUCGUUUUGCAAACCUCAUUCCAACAUCAAAAAACAAGGGCAUAACUUGUCUAGUGGGACGAAAACCAUUAAAAAACGUUAAAGGGAGGCGAAAUUAUUACCAGAAUUUGUAGCAUUAACAGAUUAUCGGUUUUAUUUUUGGGUGUAUAUAUAUCGUAAAAUGUCAGUCGCUCGAUACAUUGUGACUUCCGGCUGAUAUUUCACGAUACCAAUGUGCAGAAAGCAUUGUAGUAGCAUAUAUUUUGUCGCUUGUUUUCGCUCCAUAUGGAAUUUACUGACCCCUUAAAUAUCGUAUUAUAGGACUGAAACUUAACUAAUAUUGUUUUCAGCGUGUUACCAGUUAAGUCUUUCUGACUUCUAAAAAGACUUCACGUGCUAUGUUUAGACAUGUUAACUUACCUUUUUUAACAUAUCCUCUUGCACAUUCCAUUCUCUCUCUCCAAGUUCGACUUUCUAUGGAAAUUUUUAGUGUAAUCGUACGUUUAAAUCAUAACAUUCAUUUAAGUGUGAAUUAUCUGAUUUAUAAACAAAAAUUCCAAAUAUAUUUUACAUAAUAGCAAUAAAUUCAAUUCAAUUCAAUAUUUAUUGGAAAAAGAACAAUAGAGGCGUGAUCCAAAUACAGACAGUAAUAAUAUUAAAAAACAUAUAAAUAAAAUAUAGAUGCAUGUAUAUUCUAUGAUUACCAUUUCAUUCUAUAGGUAUAUGAUAUGAAUUAUAAUUUAACAAUAGGACAUGUAGGAGUAUAGUAAAAUAUUGAAACUAUCGAAUUUAUCUUCCAUGCGAGCUUUUUAUUCUUUAUUAUCAAAUAGUUCUUUUUAUUUGUCGUUGUGUGGCUGUCUCAUUGACGUGCAUACCCACAUGCAUUGUUCAUGUAACUUUGUCAUAUCCUCGACACUAUAACAUGUAUAAACAAUACUAAAAGUUGUUCAUUUUGGUAGCAGUUUAUGAACGGUGACAAGAUUUUAACAACUUUCAUAUCUACACCGUCCGUGUUAUGUUUGUGUUGUUUUCUUUCUUAAUAUUAACAAGUACUUCGUCUAACAUAGUUUGAACGGUUUAACACUAGUCAUUUUUAUAUCCUUAACCCCCCCUUUUUUUCCCCAAAAAAAAUCCACCUCUGACAUGUACCUUUAUAGAGGACUCGAUGUUUCACAUGUGCAAAUAUGUAAGUAACUACCCUUAUUAUUAUAUCUUGGUCAAUAAUUAAGAUAAGGAGAUACAAACAAAAUACAGGUAAUAAGCAUUCUACAGACACCUGGUAAUGAUGAGAGUUUGGCAUGCAUUACACAUAAUUAUCCCUACACAAUGUGGUAUACAUUAUUAUACUGCAACAACGCAUUAUGUUAAAUGUAUUUAAUUCUAACCUUUAUAUACCAUACACAAUCUUCUCAGAUGCAUUUCAUUAAUACGUUACUAUGUCUUUAUUGUUGCAUUGCGCCAUUCAUUUCGGACAUCUAAUUUUUACAUAAUUAGCUCAUAGAUGACGUGUAAUUUUCAGCUCAUGGAUGAAAAAUUUCAAUGUUUUACCCGUACUUCUUUUUCCGGUCACUUUCAAUACACGAAUCAUAAUUAACUUCCGAUGCCUCGCGAAGAGUAUCAUGCGCUCUGCAUGUUAAGAACCCUUGUAACAAUUCUUUUAGGGCUCCGUAGAUGGCCUGUCAAGUUCAUGGAAAAUUUUCUGUCCCUUUCCGUUAUAACCUCAUUUUCCAGUGGUAGUCUUAAUUACCGUGCCUCUAUUACUAGACCUACUUGUUGUAUGUAUCGUUAAUUUAUUCUCGUCCUGAAUGUGCAUUAAAUAUUUGCCAUUGGACCUUUUAAAAGCACCCAGUAACCAAUAAAUCAAUAUCUGUAUUCAUUAUGUUUUACUUUAUGGAAGUUCCUUCCACGGACUUUUAUUUGCAGUCUUCGUUUGGCAGUAUUACCAUAGUCAGCACGCUAACAUAAACCAUUGCUUAAAUUGGUUAGAGAGUAUUGUCCACUCUCGGACAGUAACUUUUGCUCAUUGAUUCGUUUGCAGAGAGAAAGGUUAAGGGUUUUCAGUGGCGGAUCCAGAACUUUUUGUAAGGGGGGCCCGCUGACUGACCUAAAGAGAGGGCCGCUCCAGUCACACUUCAGUGAUUCCCUAUAUAAUCAACCAAAUUUUUCCCACGAAAGGGGGGCCCGGGCCCCCCAGGCCCCCCAGGCCCCCCCGGAUCCGCCAAUGGUUUUUCUUAUUUAUUAUUAUUGCGCAUUAUAAACAAUUAAAAAAAGUCGUUUGAAAAAAGAUCUUGUGCAUACAUAGAUUCAAAUGAAAAUAUAAAACUGAAAUACUGUUGGACAGAUGAGCCUCCCACACCUUAAUUACACCAAUUAACAAUCUGGCAUCAAUUAUCUGUAAGAGAUGGGUCAGAUGAAUAAAACUAUUUCGGUAACAUACAUUUUAGAAAAAAUAUUUAAGCUGGCAAUAAACUAACCUUUUCAAUUUCAACUGAUUGGGCGUGUAUGCAUGGUUUUAAAACAGCUAGAUUUUAUCCAUCGGAUCACCAGUGAUGGUGAUAUAAAGCUGAAAACAUUCUAUAUUUAUAAUUCGUCUAAAUAUCAGCGUAUAACAAUGUCAGAUCUGUAAAUUUGCAAUAGCAGUUUGUUUGUUCCUCCCUGGCCGGGAUUCGAACUCAUGCUACUGAUAUAUCGAGGCACAAAAUCGCCUGGCACUAUGCCCGACGCACCAGACCACUCGACAGACACGACUAGCAAUAAUAAUAGUUACCACGUAAAUUUUAAGCGCCUGCUAUGAAAGAUUCAUUCAAAUUAGUGCCAUUGUAGUAGGUAUUUCUGUCUUUCAAAAUAUAGAAGUGUGAAAGAAUAAAUAAAAAGUAUGUUUUGGUGUGAUUGUAAAUGUGUAAUCGAAAGAUAUAUAUAUAUAUAUAUAGAUAUAUAACUGUCCUAUAGGGCCUUCAAUUUAUUCUCCCUUCCGAAAAGUAUGUUACGUUACCGGUAUUCUUUUCUUAUCGGUAGUCAAUAUAUCAAUAAAUAUGCUCUUUUUCAAGUAUUUAUAAGCCAAAAUGUUGAAUAUUAUACUUUGUUAUACUAUGAGGCAUUGGAGAGUACAUUCUGAACGGAGCUUUGAAAAUGCCAUAAAAGUGCAGAUAGCUUUUUUGUACUGUCAAUGACAUUAAAAUUGCAGGCUUCACCGCCCACGUUUUAGUUGUCUUGAUUUUCCAAGAUUACGUUCUACGGACCUUUUGUUGUGCUUAAUUCCGUGUCUUAAAUAACUUCAUGUAGGAAUAGAUCGUACAUCAAAAGAUUUAAAAUCAAUGUUCGCGUCUUUGAUUUCACAAUUACAUGACGGUGCAAUAUUUGAAACCAUGACUUAUAAUUUUGCCAAGAAUUUCAAACAGAAAUGAAAGACACAAUCACGUAGCAGUUAAUUGGAUCUUGGAAAACUUCCACAAUAUUAUUGGUGAAAACAACACUAAACGAAUUACGUAUAGUUAGGCACAUAAAAACAAUACGUGAAUUAAUACAGUUUGUAGUUUGUUACAAAGCAAAGGUAUUCAAAAGCAGGUAGUUACAAAUUAAAUGGCUGUGAAUAUCCAUGUAAAAUUCUCUGAGAUUAUGUUUUAGGCAACAUCAAAAACAGAUCGCUGUAUGAUUAAAAAAACACAAAAAUUCUAUCAGAAAUUGCUUACCAAUAGAGUAUAUUAUUAUCAGAUUUCAUUGUGAAGAUAAUGAUAAAUCUUCCUUGAAAAUGAAAUUGGGGUUACCCGCCUAAUAUUUGAUAGUCUACAAAGCAAGGCAGCCAUUUUGAACAAUAUCAUGAGCAUAAAGUACAUAUAUCUGCACUAUAUCCACGGUAUACUUUUAACAUAUAACCUUUUCUUUUUCAGUCUCAGAAGAGGAAAUUCAACAAUGGUACGUUUAUAUAUAAUAUGUUUCCAUGGUAGUGAUUGAAGUGUAGUCGAAGGGCUUUCUACCCAUUCAAUCCAUUGAACAAUUAAUUGAAUUAUUAAUUGUAUGAUCAAUAAUGGAUCAGAUAUCCAUUGUACAAUAGCAUUUAGUCAUAAUAAACAAAUCCCAAGGGCUGCCCUAUUUCUAUACCCAAGUCAACCAAACAUGGAAAAAACAAAAAGAUUGCUUAAAAGACAAUCAUUCAACAGAAGCACCCCUAAAAAUCAACCAUGUAAAACAAAUACGCCUUCAACAAUGAACACAUUUGACAAAAUAAAUAUAACUCUUAUAUUUGUUCUUCAGUAACAAUUCAUAGCGAGGUCUUCAAAGUUUAGUAAAUUAUCACAUCUUUCUGUAAUAUCACCAGCUAUAGCGGAAAUGGAUUACACUAUGUUCAUCUGUAGACCAACAAUUAUAGACACACAAUUGAACAAUACUGGUAUAAUUUACAUAACGAACCCUGUAACAUAGAACUUGUAUGAAUAUAUCAUAAUUUGAUGCUAUAGAAUAAAAGUGAUGCUGUCUUUUCAAAUCACGAACACAUGAAACAAAAAAGGGAAAGUGAAAAAUGUUUCAAAAUAAGUAAUUAUAAAUGUUCUUGAUGAUCGGUAAAUGAUACCAUUUUUUUUUAUCAGGUACAAAGGUUUCAUGAAGGAUUGUCCUGACGGCAAACUGACAUUAGAUGCAAGUAUAUUAUACGGUUUAGAACAAAUGAGUAGGAUAC